rnacentral:rRNA from 1 species
GACGAACGCUGGCGGCGUGCCUAAUACAUGCCAGUUGAGCGAUGAAGAUUGGUGCUUGCACCAAUUUGAAGAGCAGCGAACGGGUGAGUAACGCGUGGGGAAUCUGCCUUUGAGCGGGGGACAACAUUUGGAAACGAAUGCUAAUACCGCAUAAUAACUUUAAACAUAAGUUUUAAGUUUGAAAGAUGCAAUUGCAUCACUCAAAGAUGAUCCCGCGUUGUAUUAGCUAGUUGGUGAGGUAAAGGCUCACCAAGGCGAUGAUACAUAGCCGACCUGAGAGGGUGAUCGGCCACAUUGGGACUGAGACACGGCCCAAACUCCUACGGGAGGCAGCAGUAGGGAAUCUUCGGCAAUGGACGAAAGUCUGACCGAGCAACGCCGCGUGAGUGAAGAAGGUUGUCGGAUCGUAAAACUCUGUUGGUAGAGAAGAACGUUGGUGAGAGUGGAAAGCUCAUCAAGUGACGGUAACUACCCAGAAAGGGACGGCUAACUACGUG